UCUCCCCUACUUUUUAUUUUUCGACUUAAAAGUUAUUUAAGUUUGACCUUUUAUUUAACUUGAAAGUUAAUUUUUUUAAACCAAUCCAAACGGGCUCUAAUUCUUAAUUUUCUUUUCAAGUUUUUUCCCCAAUUUAUCCAUGGCCAAACGGCACCUUAGAAAAGUUAUUAUGUAAACUAAUGGGCAAAAGGGCAAAGCGCUAGAGAAAGUAAAAGUUAUUCUGUGUACGGAUUAUUCCAAUUUCCAACUAGUCUACAACUUGUAAAAUAAAUAUUUG
rnacentral:lncRNA from 1 species